GAUCUUUGCCUUUGUCGCACAUGUGGUGAUGCUGUGUUAUGUUUACGUUUCGAAUUGAUUGCGAGCAGUGGACGAAUGUGUUGUCGCCGUCACAUUUGGAUUAUUUUGCUUCCCGUUUACAGAAGUUAGAAGUUUGAAUAAUGGCUAAGAAGAAAAUUGUAAUGAAAGAGCAGCCAGUACACAAGGUAAAGAAGUCUGUGACAAAGAAGUCCUUGCCACAUAUCCUAAAACUGGAUGACAAGCCAAGAAGAAUAAAAGGAGAUCCAAUUCAACGGUCCAUCAAGGACAUUAAAGAUUUAGUAAAUUCUAUACAUAAGAGUGAAAAUGUGGAACAGCAGAAAGCGACUGGUAUUUCCCACGGUCAACAACAACAAGGUCGAACUCCUAUCCCAAAAGAAAAGCUACUGCGCUACAGCAGAGGUUCUGGAGUUGAUAAAGACACUAUAAAAACUAAAGUAUGGAAGAAACGAAUCAGUAAGCAGGAAAGGAAAAUAGAAUAUGCAACAGAGCAAGCAGCAAGAGCAGAACUAUUACUGACAGAGGACAGUGGUUAUCUGGUUCCUGAUGAAGGAGAGGUAACUACGCAGUUUACACAGAGCCAGAUAGCUGCCUCAGUUGAUAUUACAAGUGCUACAAAGCAUUUUGACCUUCAACUUCCUUUUGGAUCUUACAGGAUGAGGUACAGUCGAAAUGGUCGCUUUUUGUUGCUUGGUGGAAGGAGAGGUCAUGUUGCAGCAUUUGACUGGGUUACAAAGAAGCUGUUUUGUGAAAUGAAUGUAAUGGAGGAAGUCUUUGACGUUCAGUGGCUGCAUAUAGAAACAAUGUUUGCUGUUGCACAGAAGAAUUGGGUGCACAUAUAUGACAACCAAGGUAUAGAAUUACACUGUCUGAAGAAUUUACACCACGUUCUAAGGAUGGAGUUCCUGCCAUACCACUUCCUGCUGGCUACCAGUAGUGAAGAAGGAUACCUCGCAUGGUUGGAUGUUUCCAUUGGAAAGAUAAUUUCUCGAUAUAAUGCAAGGCUAGGAAGGCUUAAUAUAAUGACACAAAAUCCAUACAAUGCCGUUCUUUGUUUAGGGCAUUCAAAAGGUACUGUAACUAUGUGGAGUCCAAAUGUCCGUGAACCACUUGCCAAAAUGUUGUGCCACAAGCAUCCGCUAUUGGCUGUAGCUGUUGACCCUGCAGGCAUGUACAUGGCAACCAGUUCUGUGGACCGGAGCUUAAAACUGUGGGAUAUACGCAUGCUUGAAGGACCAUUACAGCAUUAUAACCUCCGUUCUCCAGCAACACAGCUUUCAUUCAGCCAGCGUGGAUUGCUUGCUGUGGGCAUGGGCAGUGUAGUUGAGGUAUACAGGGACUGCAUCAGAUCGGCAGCUGAAAAACCAUACAUCCGUCAUCAAGUUGGUAAAACUAUAGGAAACUUACAGUUUUGUCCAUAUGAGGAUGUACUCGGUGUAGCAACAGCAGGUGGCUUCAGCAGCCUUCUUGUACCAGGUAAGUACAAAAGCCUUCAGUUUUGUAGCUGGCAAGUUGAAUACCUGUAUGUCAUCAAUAACAUUUUUUGCAGUAUUUUAAGUGGUAUGAAACUCAAAUGCAUAAAAAGUGUAUUUUCCGUCCAUAUUGUGGGUGUACACCUUUUUUUUAUCCAUGAUCUGUCGAUUUAAUUCACUUCAACAUUGUGAUGCACAUUCAAAUAAAGUGUUUAGAUGGUUCAAAUCUCAUUUCAUUUGUUAAUCCUAAGUGCAUAUUUCAACCUCUCAAGUUUGACAUAAAAAAGUAAGUCCGCUCUAAUACUAUCACACUUAAGUCAGAAAUUUCAGUAUUUUAUUACGCUAAACAACCAUCUUUGUACAGAUGAUGUUCUGUAUAUUAUUUGUGAGUUUCAUGCCAAAAGGUGGAGGGGGAGGCAGUUUAAGAUUUAUAGUGAUCAUUGUGAUCAUAUGUAACCACAAACGGACACACUUCCCUCUCCUGAACCCUCUCCAUCCCCAGAAAGGUGUGAAAAAAGUCGAAAAAGUGUUGGUUUGAGAUGAGCUAUGUUGAUCCUGUGCUGAACUUAGGUUGGUGAACAACAAUAGGUGCAAAGGUUAGCUAGAAUUCAGGAAAAUUUUAAAAAAAAAAAAAAAAAAAAAAAAAAAAAAAAAAAAAAAAAAAAGCGUGUAACUGUAUUUAAAAGACUGGUUAUGUACUGGCAGGUUAUGAAAAUGAGGCUAACAAUUGUUUGACAAAGAAAUAAUAACGUUUUAAUAAAUAAUAACGAGUUUACACAAAAUGUUUGUAAACUUGGAACAGUGGAUUUUCUAGCAGUGGUAAUGUUGAAAGCGUUAAAGUUUUUAGGUUAUGGUUUGGAAGUAAAUUACGUAUUAUUAUAAUUAGGCAGGAUAAAAUGUAUGGUAGAUUACGGAAAAAGGGAAGAUGAAUACAAAGUGAAACUACUUGUACAAAC